GGGUUAAGUCCGUAACGAGCGCAACCCUGUCCUAGUUACCAGCACGUUAUGGUGGGCACUCUAAGGAGACUGCCGGUGACAAACCGGAGGAAGGUGGGGAUGACGUCAAGUCAUCAUGGCCCUUACGGCCUCGGGCUACCACACGUGCUACGAAUGGUCGGUACAAAGGGUUGCCAAGCCGCGAGGUGGAGCUAAUCCCAUAAAACCGAUCGUAGUCCGGAUCGCAGUCUGCAACUCGACUGCGUGAAGUCGGAAUCGCUAGUAAUCGUGAAUCAGAAUGUCACGGUGAAUACGUUCCCGGGCCUU
rnacentral:rRNA from 1 species